GACGAACGCUGGCGGCGUGCUUAACACAUGCCAGUCGAACGGAAAGGCCCUGCUUUUGUGGGGUGCUCGCGUGGCGCACGGGUGAGUAACACGUGAGUGACCUGCCCUUGUCUUUGGGAUAACUUCAGGAAACUGGGGCUCAUACCGGAUAGGAGCUCCUGCUGCACGGUGUGGGUUGGAAAGUUUCGGCGGUUGGGGAUGGACUCGCGGCUUAUCAGCUUGUUGGUGGGGUAGUGGCUUACAAAGGCUUUGACGGGUAGCCGGCCUGGGAGGGUGACCGGCCACAUUGGGACUGAGAGACGGACCAGACUCCUACGGGAGGCAGCAGUGGAGAAUAUUGCACAAUGGGCGGAAGCCUGAUGCAGCAGCGCCGCGUGCGGGAUGACGGCUUUCGGGUUGUAAACCGCUUUCGCCGUUGACGAAGCGUGAGUGACGGUAAUGGGUAAAGAAGCACCGGCUAACUACGUG
rnacentral:rRNA from 1 species